rnacentral:rRNA from 1 species
UAGGGAAUCUUCGGCAAUGGACGAAAGUCUGACCGAGCAACGCCGCGUGAGUGAAGAAGGUUUUCGGAUCGUAAAACUCUGUUGUUAGAGAAGAACAAGGACGUUAGUAACUGAACGUCCCCUGACGGUAUCUAACCAGAAAGCCACGUCUAACUACGUUCCAGCAGCCGCGGUAAUACGUAGGUGGCAAGCGUUGUCCGGAUUUAUUGGGCGUAAAGCGAGCGCAGGCGGUUUCUUAAGUCUGAUGUGAAGGCCCCCGGCCCAACCGGGGAGGGUCAUUGGAAACUGGGAGACUUGAGUGCAGAAGAGGAGAGUGGAAUUCCAUGUGUAGCGGUGAAAUGCGUAGAUAUAUGGAUGAACACCAGUGGCGAAGGCGGCUCUCUGGUCUGUAACUGACGCUGAGGCUCGAAAGCGUGGGGAGCAAACAGG